rnacentral:rRNA from 1 species
CAGUCGCCACGGUAAUACGUAGGGUGCGAGCGUUAAUCGGAAUUACUGGGCGUAAAGCGAGCGCAGACGGUUAUUUAAGCAGGAUGUGAAAUCCCCGGGCUUAACCUGGGAACUGCGUUCUGAACUGGAUAGCUAGAGUGUGUCAGAGGGGGGUAGAAUUCCACGUGUAGCAGUGAAAUGCGUAGAGAUGUGGAGGAACACCGAUGGCGAAGGCAGCCCCCUGGGCCAAUACUGACGCUCAUGCACGAAAGCGUGGGGAGCAAACAGGAUUAGAUACCCCUGUAGUCCCUGUCUCUUAUAC